AAUAAUAUAUUGAGACUUGACUAUUUCAUAUAUAUAUUCUUUUAUAUCUAUUGGCCUUUGCUGGUAUUUUACUAUUCUAUAAAGUCUUGGAAAAACAAGAAUUUUGUUGAACGGGUUUUUUGAUUCAAGCCUUUUGUCUUCGCAGCUCAAUCUAAGAAAUGGCAGUCGAGAAUUGCGACGUAUUUCUGAGCUUCGGAGGCGAAACUCGCAACAAUUUCACUAGAUACUUGUACGAAAAGCUGAAGCUUCAAGGCUUCCAGCCAUUCAUGGACAGAGAAAACAUCGACCUUGGAGACGAAAUUGAUGGGAGAAUCAAGAAAGCUAUCAAAUACUCGAAAAGCGCUAUCAUAGUCUUAUCAGAAAAUUAUCCAUCUUCAAAACAUUGUUUGGAUGAACUGGUGCAUAUUCUUGAAAGGAACCGGACAUCCAAGUAUUUCAUCAUUCCGGUAUUUUAUUAUGUUGAAGCUGCUGAUGUCAAGUAUCGGAGGGGAAAAUUUGGCGACGCGUUUGAGCACGUCAAGAAGCGGUAUGGAGAAAAAAUGGAGCAAUGGAGUGCAGCAAGAAAUUAACGAAAAAGAUUCGCGUACAGAGAGCAAGAUCAUCGAAGACAUCGUUACAUCCUUCAUGCAAAAAUACUCAGAGCACUACCCAAGAGGCCAGACUUCACAGCAGAACUGUUCCCAAGUUAUGCCAUUAACGGAAUCUUAUCGUUUCGAUAUCGAAGAAGGAUCAGUUGAAGUUACCAAAGGCAAUGCGAACCCCAUGAAAAACAGUUACGGAGACAUGACAUUCCGAUCAUGGAUGAAGGAUUGGAUGAUUCAGAAUCCUAAAUUUUUUAUUCUUGUAGUUAUUAUUGUCAUUGUUAUUCUAAUUUUUACAGUGGUUACUUUUAUACAAAUUGGCAUAGAGGCCAGCACAGCUGACGCAGUCACCUCAGCUUUCAAGGACUUUCCGAAGACAUUGAAUGACGUGGAACCUAAGAACUUUCGAACGACAUUUCCGGGCGGGGGAAACUAAGGGACAACGAAAAUAAUAUGGAAUUCUUAAUAAUGACAACGGAGGCGUAACUGUAUAUAGUUGGAAAGGUUUGUUAGGAAAGGGUUUGUACACGAGUUGAUUUGUAUAUGUUGUUCUUUCUUUUUUUUUCUUUUCUUUUUUCAAGAUAUUCUAAAUCUUGUGUAUAUUGUAAUAUUCUGACUAAGAGCAAGUCCAACAAUGUCCUAGCAAAUGCCUUAUAAAUAUAAUAAAAUAAUGUGUCCUAGUGAUUUAGGACGUCAUCUUAAUAUAUCAA